UAGCACGUCACCACAACUGAUAAUACACUCACAACUCAACAAUUUCAAGGUAUUCUAGUGUCGAUUAUACAGCGUUUUCGUACUGGACAAACACGCUAUCCGCCAUAUUGAGGGGAUAUAAGCAGUUCCAUAGCAAAAGAUUGUAGAGAUGGCGAAAUUACUGGUGAUAUCGGGUUUCUUGUUCUUUCACAUUGGUGCAUUUCUGUGUCUUGAAUUCAAUCCAGAUGGAGACACAGUUAAAGGGGCAACAGUGAGUCUUGUGUGCACUAUUGCACCAUCAGACUUCACUUCUCCCAUUUCCCUUACCAAAGAUGGCAGUUUGAAGACAUCGUGUGACAAUACAAAUAUAUGCAAUCCAUCAAACAGUGAUGCUGGUAGAUAUGUAUAUUCAUCAAACUCCUCAGCAGUAACAGUGACAAUCACUUCUUUAAGCCAUACAAGUGACACUGGAACUUGGACGUGCUCAAUAGCAUCAUCAUCACCCAAAGAUUAUUCUCUUGUUGUUCAAACUGAGCCAUCAGUAACAACCUUCAUAAACGGAUCAAGUACAACACCAGUCCCAGGAACAAAAUAUAAAAUAGUAAACCUAUCAGCUAGAAGUUACUGUUUUUCCCCAUCAAUCUCCUCAGCCAAUCUUCAAUACAGCGUUGGGAUUUCUGGAUCAGUCUUGCCAUUGACAACAAUUUAAGUAGUGGGACUGUCAGCUAUUAGUGUAGGGUGUGAAACAAAUGAAUUUGAUUUGCAAACAAAUGCAACAGUGGACAUAGACUCGUCAACAUAUGCAGAUCUCUCUGGGAAAUCAAAUGUGUACUUCCAGAUCACAUUUACAAGCAGCCUUGGAACUCAGCAUUCAACAGAUUAUAGAUUUGGACCAUAUGAUUUUGAAGAAACUGGACUGAUAGAGAUAUCGGAUCAUCAAAAAUGAUAAGAAGAUUAUGGACCUACACACUGGGAUAAAGAAUCCACAUUUGAUUUACACCACCUCUGGCAUAUGUAGUCGCAAGAGUCCAGUGUGGGCCAAUUUUUGGUGGGAUGAUAACACGAACAAGAAAAAAACCGAGAGUUUGAUGAGAUACCGUGGAUUCUUUAUUCAAAGUAUUAUUGCAAGAUAUGUGAUUUGCAUUUAAAUCAUUACUUUGUAUCUUCUUUACUACUUGAUUCAAUAAAUGACGA